GGGGAAUUUUCCGCAAUGGGCGAAAGCCUGACGGAGCAAUACCGUGUGAGGGAGGAAGGCUCUUGGGUUGUAAACCUCUUUUAUUCGGGAAGAAGAUCUGACGGUACCGAAUGAAUCAGCAUCGGCUAACUCCGUGCCAGCAGCCGCGGUAAUACGGAGGAUGCAAGCGUUAUCCGGAUUUAUUGGGCGUAAAGCGUCCGCAGGUGGCUAUACAAGUCUGCUGUUAAAGCGUGGGGCUUAACUCCAUACAGGCAGUGGAAACUGUAAAGCUAGAGUCUGGUAGGGGUCACGGGAAUUCCCAGUGUAGCGGUGAAAUGCGUAGAUAUUGGGAAGAACACCAGCGGCGAAAGCGCGUGACUGGACCGGAACUGACACUCAUGGACGAAAGCUAGGGGAGCGAAAGGGAUUAGAUACCCCUGUAGUC
rnacentral:rRNA from 1 species